UGGUAGUNCACGCCGUAAACGAUGAGUGCUAGGUGUUAGGCCCUUUCCGGGGCUUAGUGCCGGAGCUAACGCAAUAAGCACUCCGCCUGGGGAGCACGACCGCAAGGUUGAAACUCAAAGGAAUUGUCGGGGGCCCGCACAAGCGGUGGAGCAUGUGGUUUAAUUCGAAGCAACGCGAAGAACCUUACCAGGUCUUGACAUCCCGAUGCUAUUCUUAGAGAUAGGAAGUUACUUCGGUACAUCGGAGACAGGUGGUGCAUGGUUGUCGUCAGCUCGUGUCGUGAGAUGUUGGGUUAANNNNCGCAACGAGCGCAACCCUUAUUGUUAGUUGCCAUCAUUAAGUUGGGCACUCUAGCGAGACUGCCGGUAAUAAACCGGAGGAAGGUGGGGAUGACGUCAAAUCAUCAUGCCCCUUAUGACCUGGGCUACACACGUGCUACAAUGGUCGGUACAACGAGUUGCGAGCCGGUGACGGCAAGCUAAUCUCUGAAAGCCGAUCUCAGUUCGGAUUGGAGGCUGCAACUCGCCUCCAUGAAGUCGGAAUCGCUAGUAAUCGCGGAUCAGCACGCCGCGGUGAAUACGUUCCCGGGCCUNGU
rnacentral:rRNA from 1 species